CAAAUGGUGGCCUUAUUUACACGUGAUUCAAAUCAGACUAAUUGUAUGCAUUUUAUCCUCCUCGACUUUUGGCGGUUAAAAUUCCACGACAUUGGUUGAGAUUAAUGUUGUCAAAUAUAUAUUGAAUAUAGAAUAAUAAUUGGUAAUUUCGAGUCAUUGACGGAUACAAUUAGUACAUCGUUCUCCUACAUUAUUAUGGAAACCGAUAGCGGGAUGAGAAUCCAGGAAACAUUAGUUUCCAUCAAUGACGUUACUUUAAAGAUUAAAAAGGAGCUGGAAAUCAUCGAGAGACUUGUGAAAGAAAACGGACAUUUGCACACGGUAGUUGACACAGCAAAUCACAUUUUAUCUAAGAAGGUUCAAGAAAUGGGAAUGAAUGUGGCAAAUAUUAUUAAUGAGAGCAAACACAAAAACAGUCAUUGCAGACUCUUCACGGAAGAUACGUUUAGUUCUUUUAAUUUAAUUUCAAUAAACGAAGAGAGAGAAAGCUGCGUGGAAAUGGAGACUCGCAUCAUCAGAGACCGUGACCGAUUUACCUGUAUGACUUUGACGUCGCUUUGAAACCUGGGUGGUCGUCCAAAGUGCAACAUCCAAUUUAAUCUCGCGCCUAGCAAUAAAAUCACAUCGGAUUGCAGCAACGCGAGUGUUCGCGCACUGGAGACGCAACGCUCAUCUGUAUCCGCUCGAGCGUAAGCGGCACCUUCGUAUAAAAAGUGUGUAAGGAAAGAAAGGAAAAGAGAAAAAAGAUGGUCGAGUAAAAAUUCUCUGCGAGAUCUGUGUGUUUACCCUUGCCGACUAUCACCAAGGGCUUCUUCGCCCUUAUCAAUAAAUUCGCUGCUUGCUCGAUUAAUUUCGUAUCAGGAUAGGAUAACGGCGGU